AGAGUUUGAUCCUGGCUCAGGAUGAACGCUGGCGGCGUGCCUAAUACAUGCAAGUCGAGCGAACGGACGAGAAGCUUGCUUCUCUGAUGUUAGCGGCGGACGGGUGAGUAACACGUGGAUAACCUACCUAUAAGACUGGGAUAACUUCGGGAAACCGGAGCUAAUACCGGAUAAUAUUUUGAACCGCAUGGUUCAAAAGUGAAAGACGGUCUUGCUGUCACUUAUAGAUGGAUCCGCGCUGCAUUAGCUAGUUGGUAAGGUAACGGCUUACCAAGGCAACGAUGCAUAGCCGACCUGAGAGGGUGAUCGGCCACACUGGAACUGAGACACGGUCCAGACUCCUACGGGAGGCAGCAGUAGGGAAUCUUCCGCAAUGGGCGAAAGCCUGACGGAGCAACGCCGCGUGAGUGAUGAAGGUCUUCGGAUCGUAAAACUCUGUUAUUAGGGAAGAACAUAUGUGUAAGUAACUGUGCACAUCUUGACGGUACCUAAUCAGAAAGCCACGGCUAACUACGUGCCAGCAGCCGCGGUAAUACGUAGGUGGCAAGCGUUAUCCGGAAUUAUUGGGCGUAAAGCGCGCGUAGGCGGUUUUUUAAGUCUGAUGUGAAAGCCCACGGCUCAACCGUGGAGGGUCAUUGGAAACUGGAAAACUUGAGUGCAGAAGAGGAAAGUGGAAUUCCAUGUGUAGCGGUGAAAUGCGCAGAGAUAUGGAGGAACACCAGUGGCGAAGGCGACUUUCUGGUCUGUAACUGACGCUGAUGUGCGAAAGCGUGGGGAUCAAACAGGAUUAGAUACCCUGGUAGUCCACGCCGUAAACGAUGAGUGCUAAGUGUUAGGGGGUUUCCGCCCCUUAGUGCUGCAGCUAACGCAUUAAGCACUCCGCCUGGGGAGUACGACCGCAAGGUUGAAACUCAAAGGAAUUGACGGGGACCCGCACAAGCGGUGGAGCAUGUGGUUUAAUUCGAAGCAACGCGAAGAACCUUACCAAAUCUUGACAUCCUUUGACAACUCUAGAGAUAGAGCCUUCCCCUUCGGGGGACAAAGUGACAGGUGGUGCAUGGUUGUCGUCAGCUCGUGUCGUGAGAUGUUGGGUUAAGUCCCGCAACGAGCGCAACCCUUAAGCUUAGUUGCCAUCAUUAAGUUGGGCACUCUAAGUUGACUGCCGGUGACAAACCGGAGGAAGGUGGGGAUGACGUCAAAUCAUCAUGCCCCUUAUGAUUUGGGCUACACACGUGCUACAAUGGACAAUACAAAGGGCAGCGAAACCGCGAGGUCAAGCAAAUCCCAUAAAGUUGUUCUCAGUUCGGAUUGUAGUCUGCAACUCGACUGGACAUAUUGCUGGAUCACCUCCUUUCUAAGGAUAUAUUCGG
rnacentral:rRNA from 1 species